rnacentral:rRNA from 1 species
AACGAACGCUGGCGGCAUGCCUAACACAUGCAAGUCGAACGAGACCUUCGGGUCUAGUGGCGCACGGGUUCGUCACGCGUGGGAACCUUCCCUUAGGUUCGGAAUAACUCCCCGAAAGGGGUGCUAAUACCGGAUAAUGUCUUCGGACCAAAGAUUUAUCGCCUUUGGAUGGGCCCGCGUUGGAUUAGCUUGUUGGUAGGGUAAAAGCAUACCAAGGCGACGAUUCAUAGCUGGUCUGAGAGGAUGAUCAGCCACACUGGGAGUGAGACACGGCCCAGACUCCUACGGGAGGCAGCAGUGGGGAAUAGUGCACAAUGGGCGAAAGCAUGAUCCAGCAAGGACGGGUGAGUGAUGAAGGCCUUAGGGUUGUAAAGCUCUUUUACCCGGGAUGAUAAUGACAGUACCGGGAGAAUAAGCUCCGGCUAACUCCGUG